UCUUUACGGAGGCAGUGGCGUUGAGAAGACUCGGCCCACAGCGCCCGGGGCGGGGGCGGGGACUCUUUUUUUUUUUUUUUUUCUCUCCUCCUCUAAGGUCUAGCAGGAUUUGGAUCCUCCCAGUCCUGUUACUGGCAGUGCCUCCGUCUCCCAAAGAGGAUCUGAACUUGACCCCUUCUCUUCAUAUCCGGAUCCGGGCUCCUCCCCCAGGACCGCCCAUCCGCCUUUCUCUCGGAAUAUUUUGGGAAUCUAACCCUCUCUCUCUAAUUCUGGCCCCUAAUAAUCCACUGAGACCCUAAAACAAUGGGCUGACGCCUAUUCUUUUGCCAGCGAUCCCGGCCACCUCCCCCUACGGUAACGGAGAAAUAAUUUCUCUGCUGGAAUUGUAGAUUAGGCUCUUUUCCCCUCUUCCAGCGCCUCUGCUUUCAGUACCCCAAUUCAUCCUCGUUUGUAAUUACGUAGGUCUGGGGCUCUGAGCCCCAAGGCACUUCAGAACCGAGUACCCGCUUUCCUCUUUACAGGCUGGCUUUUCCAGUGAACCCUCCCCCUGCCCUCUAUCUGCACGUUCCCAGCCUGGGAAAAGAUGGCUCCACAGCCCCUAAGGGGCCUGGUCCCAUUUCUGCUCUGGUGCUUGAGCCUGUUUCUUAGCCUCCCAGGACCUGUCUGGCUCCAACCCUCUCCUCCUCCCCAUUCUGCUCCCCGAGCUGAGCCCCAUCCAUGUCAUACCUGCCGGGCACUGGUGGACAGCUUCAACAAGGGCCUGGAGAGAACUAUCCGGGACAACUUUGGUGGUGGAAACACUGCUUGGGAGGAAGAGAAGUUGUCCAAAUACAAAGACAGUGAGACCCGCCUGGUGGAGGUGCUGGAGGGUGUGUGCAGCAAGUCAGACUUCGAGUGCCACCGCCUGCUAGAGCUCAGCGAGGAGCUGGUGGAAGCCUGGUGGUUCCACAGGCAGCAAGAAGCCCCUGACCUCUUCCAGUGGCUCUGUUCAGAUUCCCUGAAGCUCUGCUGCCCCUCUGGGACUUUCGGUCCCUCCUGCCUGCCAUGUCCUGGGGGCACAGAGAGGCCCUGCGGUGGCUACGGGCAGUGUGAAGGGGAAGGGACUCGAGGGGGCAGCGGGCACUGUGACUGCCAAGCCGGCUAUGGGGGCGAGGCCUGUGGCCAGUGUGGCCUUGGCUACUUUGAGGCAGAGCGCAACAGCAGCCAUCUGGUAUGUUCGGGUAGGUAGCCAAAAGCUGUGGUGUGGGGCGGGGAUAGCCGGGGCACCUGCCUGCUGGUUCUUACACUGUCCGAUUUUUACCCAGCGUGCUUUGGUCCCUGUGCCCGCUGCACAGGACCCGAGGAAUCCCACUGUCUGCAGUGCAGGAAAGGCUGGGCCCUGCAUCACCUCAAGUGUGUAGGUAAGUGGGGAACAUGGAGGUGGGGCAAGCUUUAUCCCCUCUAUACACAUAUGCCUGCCUACACCACCAUAGUCCUAUUCACAAGGACACUCGGCCUGGCUGGAAGGCAGGUACAGAGUAGAAAGACCUGCAUGCAGGGGAAGACUCGUGUCCACACCCAGCUCAGUGCAAGGCACUGAUGGGUCAGGAGUACCUUAGAAGAGGCUCUCCUUUGGCCAGGUCUUUGCUUGGCUUUCUCGGUGUAGCUCUGGCUGUUCUGGAACUCGCUUUGUAGACCAGACUGGCCUCGAACUUAGAGAUCCAGCUGUCUCUGCCUCCUGAGUGCUGGGAUUAAAGGGGUGUGCAUAGCAAAACAAAUCUUACAAAAACAAAGCAACAACAACAAAAAUCUAGAGUGGGAUCUGAAGUCUAGCCGGGAGAUGACUCAUCAGUUAGAGGUGCUUGCUGCCAAGGCUGAAGACUGAGUUCAGUCCCUGGGACACACAUGCUGAAAGGAGAAAACCAGCAAGUUGUCCCCUCAUUUCCAGUUGUGUGCCAUGGCA
rnacentral:lncRNA from 1 species